CUAAGAAGGAAUGAAGUAUCAA
rnacentral:misc_RNA from 1 species